rnacentral:rRNA from 1 species
UACGUAGGGGGCAAGCGUUGUCCGGAAUCAUUGGGCGUAAAGAGCGCGUAGGCGGCCCGGUAAGUCCGCUGUGAAAGUCCAGGGCUCAACCCUGGGAUGCCGGUGGAUACUGUCGGGCUCGAGUCCGGAAGAGGAGUGUGGAAUUCCUGGUGUAGCGGUGAAAUGCGCAGAUAUCAGGAGGAACACCAAUGGCGAAGGCAGCACUCUGGGACGUGACUGACGCUGAGACGCGAAAGCGUGGGGAGCAAACAGG